rnacentral:rRNA from 1 species
UGNCUUCUUUNAUGGAAAGUUUANGCNGGGCGGGACGGGGUUGAAGUAAACACGUGGGGUUAACCNUGGCCCNNUAAAGANNUGGGNAUNAACUUCCGGGGAAACCNGGGGNCUNAAUACCGGGAUAAACAUUUUNGAACUGCAUNGGUUUCGAAAUUUGAAAAGGCGGCUUUCGGCUGUCACUUAUGGAUGGACCCGCGUCGCAUUAGCUAGUUGGUGAGGUAACGGCUCACCCAAAGGCAACGAAUGCGUAGCCGACCUGAGANGGGUGAUCGGCCACACUGGGACUGAAGACACGGNCCAGACUCCUACGGGGAGGCAGCAGUAGGGAAUCUUCCGCAAUGGACGAAAGUCUGACGGAGCAACGCCGCGUGAGUGAUGAAGGCUUUCGGGUCGUAAAACUCUGUUGUUAGGGAAGAACAAGUGCUAGUUGAAUAAGCUGGCACCUUGACGGUACNUAACCAGAAAGCCACGGCUAACUACGUGCCAGCAGCCGCGGGUAAUACGUAGGUGGCAAGCGUUAUCCGGAAUUAUUGGGCGUAAAGCGCGCGCAGGUGGUUUCUUAAGUCUGAUGUGAAAGCCCACGGCUCAACCGUGGAGGNUCAUUGGGAAACUGGGAGACUUUGAGUGCAGAAANAGGAAAGUGGAAUUCCAUUGGUGUAAGCGGUGAAAAUGCGUAGAGAUAUGGAGGAAAACCNGGUGGCGAAGGCAACUUUUUUGGGUCNGUAACNGAACCUGGANGCGNGAAAGCGUGGGGGGCAAAAAAGGGAUUAGAUACCCNGGGUAGGNCCNNCCCGNAAAANGAUGNGUNCUAAGGUUUNAAAGGGNUUNCCG